rnacentral:rRNA from 1 species
UACGAAGGGGGCUAGCGUUGUUCGGAUUUACUGGGCGUAAAGCGCACGUAGGCGGAUUGUUAAGUGAGGGGUGAAAUCCCAGGGCUCAACCCUGGAACUGCCUUUCAUACUGGCAAUCUCGAGUCCGGAAGAGGUGAGUGGAAUUCCUGGUGUAGCGGUGAAAUGCGUAGAUAUCAGGAAGAACACCUAUGGCGAAGGCAGCUCUCUGGGACGGUACUGACGCUGAGACGCGAAAGCGUGGGGAGCGAACAGG